GUUUAUCUUUUCUAUGACCUCAGUCGUAUACGAUCCUCCGAGUCGUCAACAUUUACGUUAGCAUAUCACUUAUUACGCACGAUCGUAUAGGAAAAACGAUACAAGUUUCUAUGCUGCAUAGACAGAGAGAAAGAGAGAGAAAGAAAUAAGAGAGGGUUGGUAAAAGCGUCACGACAAUCCGGACAUCGGCAUUACGAACUAGUCGUCUACUAUUUACCCUCGUAGUUAAGGCUACCCCAUAAAGAUUCAGAUAGCCGAGGAAAAGGCACACCCUAUGGAUAUAAAGCAACGUUUUGUAGCCAGGCUUAAAAGGGCUCCGGUGGUUCAACGCUAACUGCGCUACGACAGAAACAGGAUGCUCAUUACGGGAAAGGGGUUUGGAGAAGGAGAACGCGAGAAAAGCACCGAUGCCAGCGACGAGAAACGGGUAUCAUUCCUCCUUGCACGAAGUUAGUACGAAGAGAUGACCCAACGUAGUAAAGACUUUCGUCGAAGUAAACGGAUAGUAGUGGACUGCAUCGGGCUUCCACGUGUGCAUUGGAAGAAGUUGUAUCGUGGAUUCAUCGAAGAGAAAGAGAAAAAGGAGAUCGGAGGAUGCGAUUUUCGAGUCACGUUUAGAAAGAAGACGGUCAGCGGCCUUUCUUGUUUCAGAACUUCUCAAGAGUAACAAGUUCACGUGCGAGUGGAAACGCGCAACGCGAAGAAUGCGCGCUCAUUGAGAGAAGGAGGUGGGGGUGGAGGACAAGGAGGACAAGGAGGACGAGGAGGAUGAAGAGGAGAAAGAGAAGGAGGAGGACCUAGGGCUUCCACAGCGUAAUAUGUCGCAUAACGCGCCGUAAUACUACACCAGACGACGACGAAGAAGAGUGCCAGACAAGUUCGAAUCCGACGAUCGAACGAAAAUCAUAUACGAAAGAUUCUUCGAGGCGAGAGUGGACGCGUGGCAAGUUUUACUCUUUUAGCACGUGACGAUUGCUAAAGUAUGGCGGGGGAAAGUAGGGCGAGGAUUCACCAAGGUGAAAUUAGAAGAUACCAACCACCAGGCCUGCCGGAGGAAGGCAACGCGUGCACGUUCUGGGCGGAGUAGGAGAACGAUCCGUAGGGCCAGGAGUCAUCGAGUGACACACGCACGACCGCCACGCUUCGUGGUCACGGUCAAAGCGCACGCGGAACACCACGAAGAGCUAGCUGGUAGGAGAGAGAGAGAGAGAGAGAGAGAGAGAGAGAAAGAGAGAGAGAGAGAGAAGGGACACGCUUCGAUUGCUCUUGUAAACGGAGUGCCUCCUGCUUUCAGAGAAUAAGAGAGAGAUAAAGAGAAGGAGAAAGAGAGAGAGAGAGAGAGAGAGAGAGAGAGAGAGAGAGAGUAUACACCACCGGACCUCGAAGAUCCAGCCACGAGGUUCUUCGGUUUCCAACAUGAUCGUCGAGAUCGAAUUCGAUUAUCCUGCUACGGAGAACAAGGGAUCGCGAUAUACGGUUACAUUCGUGAGGAGCGAUAAACGCGAAUCUCGCGAAGUCUAUAGUAGAGUAGAGUAGUGGAAGGAAACCGAUAGUAUAGAACUAUCAACGUAACUCUUUGUUCUACGUUACGUUCCACGAAUUAAUUCAACGAUCGAUCAGUUUCCUCAUGCCAUUCCUCGUGUAACUUUGUCGUGACGUCUUUGACGACAAGGAGAACUAAGACGACGAUGAUGAUGGUGUUGUUGAUGAUGAUGAUGAUGAUAAUGAUGAUGAUGAUGAUGAAAUGCAAGGAGCAAAGUUUAAUCUUUUAUAGCUUAUCCUUGAUUCAUGAAAACUUUUAAGAUAUCAAGAUUUUACCGUACUUGGACGAGUAUUAACCGAGCU